CAGCAUGCCCUGCGCGGGGUGCAACAUGGCGGCGCCCACGCUGAGGCGCCUGUAUCGUACGCCCCAGGCCGGGGUCUGGCCGCGCGGGCCGCGUGUGGUGCGUCCGGGCGCGCGGGGGAUGCUGGCGGCCCCGAGGGCCCGCGGCCUGUUCAAGGAGUUCUUCCCCGAGAGCGGCACGAAGACAGAGCUCCCCGAACUCUUCGACCGCCGCAGGGCCGGCGCGUCACCCCAGACGGUGUACUGCGGCUUCGACCCCACGGGCGACUCGCUGCACGUGGGCCACCUGCUGACCUUGCUGGGGCUCUUCCACUUCCAGCGAGCCGGCCACAACGCCAUCGCGCUCGUGGGGGGCUCCACGGCUCGCCUGGGGGACCCCAGCGGCCGGAGCAAGGGGCGGGAGGCGCUGAGCGCCGAGCGCGUGCAGGCCAACGCGCGCGCCCUGCGCCGGGGGCUCGAGGGCCUGGCCGCCAACCACGCGCGCCUCUUCGGCGACGGCCGGCCCUGGGGCUCCUUCACGGUGCUCGACAACGCGGACUGGUUCCAGGAGCAGCACCUCGUGGACUUCCUGGCCACCGUGGGCGGCCACUUCCGCAUGGGCACGCUGCUGAGCCGCCUGAGCGUGCAGAGUCGCCUCAAGAGCCCCGAGGGCAUGAGCCUGGCCGAGUUCUUCUACCAGGUGCUGCAGGCCUACGACUUCUACCACCUCUUCCGGCGCUACGGCUGCCGCGUGCAGCUCGGCGGGGCGGAUCAGCUGGGCAACAUCGUGUCGGGCUACGAGUUCGUCCACAAGUUGACCGGAGAAGAUGUAUUCGGAAUCACCGUUCCACUGAUUACAAGCACAACUGGAGCAAAGCUGGGGAAGUCGGCUGGCAAUGCCGUUUGGCUAGACCGAGAGAAGACAUCACCAUUUGAGCUUUAUCAGUUCUUUGUCAGACAGCAGGAUGAUUCUGUAGAGAGGUACCUGAAGCUCUUCACUUUCCUUCCCCUUCCGGAGAUUGGUCACAUUAUGCAGUUGCAUGUCAAAGAACCAGAAAAGCGGGGUGCUCAGAAACGACUGGCUGCGGAAGUAACAAAGCUUGUUCAUGGACAAGAAGGUCUGGACUCUGCUAAAAGGUGUACACAAGCCCUUUACCAUAGCAGCAUAGAGGCACUGGAGGUCAUGUCUGACCAAGAAUUAAAAGAAUUGUUUAAAGAAGCUUCGUUUUCUGAAUUAGUUCUUGACCCUGGAACAAGUGUCAUCGAUACAUGUCGGAAAGCAAAUGCCAUUCCAGAUGGUCCCCGAGGGUAUCGGAUGAUAACAGAAGGCGGAGUCAGCAUAAAUCACAGACAGGUAUAAAGCUACUUGUAGCAAAAAUGAGCCUACUUCUUUGUGAUUUCACCAUACUGAAGACCAGCUGAGACAUCCAACCUCAUGGACUGAAAAACUACUGGAUUCUUGGAACUUUCUGUUUAUAGGCAGCCAUUGUUGGAUUAGCUGGACCACAGCUUGUAAUAAAAAAGGAACCAAGGCUCUUAUGACUGUCUCAAGUUCCAGAACAGCACUCAACGGUGCAGAGCUGGUGACGUGAAGUUCCAGUGGUUCUAGGAUGCUGGUACCUGUGUACUGUAAUUACUACAAUGCUGAAUGAUCCUCUGCAUUUCCUCAUGGACCAGUUCAACACACCGGAGACUGGGCUCUUCUAGACGCUUGAUUUGCCGCUUGACCAGUAACUCAAAUGAAACCUCAGGCACAAAUAAAGCAGGACGGGGACCCUGAAAAGACAAAAUUCAGCUCUAUUAUAAUAGCUAUGUGCAAUUCACGUCUUCCAAAGGAUAAAAAGAAUCCCUUUUUUGUUCCUUUUUCUGAAAAAUGUUUUAAAUAUGACAGCAAAAUACAUUUGUACAUCAGCUUAAACUAUGCAUACAAAUAAAGCUUUCCCUCUGCUUCUGGCUCAGCAUACUCACAGUAGCAUUUCUGAUGGCAGUCAAAAUGUCAAUAGUGUUAAGGCCACCUAGUGGGUCAACAGAUUCUAAGGUUCGCCCAAAAGUCUCAUGGAAAAUAUAACAAAUUCUAGCACCACCGCAUCUGAAAGGCAUUGAAUUAUAUGAUUAUGCACUGCUAUAAAGAAAAGAAGCUACAAAUUAUAUUUUUCUUUAAGCUUUAAGGUUGUUUCAUCUUCUAAGAAAGCCUUAUAAACCCAAUGGCUGUAUCAAUUUAUACCCCACCAACAGUGAAUGAGGCUUCAAGUCCAUUCUGUUUCCUUUCAAUUUUUUUUUCUUUAGAGCUGAAUAGUAUUCCAUUUAUAUGUGCUCCAAGUGUUCAUUAUACAUUCAUCUGUUGAUGGGUAAGUAGUUUGAUUCCAAUUCUUUGCUUUAGUGAAUAACCAACAGUAAGCAUGAGGUGUAAUUACUGUUACGGUAGGCCACAAGAGUUCUCUGGGUAUAUGCCCUAGAGGGAAAUAGCUGGGUCAUAUGGUAGUACUGUUCUUAAUUUUUUGAAAACUAUCCACUCAUUUUCACAAUGGAUGUAUUCAAUAUGCACCCCCACCAGCAGUGAUUAGGGACUGCUCUCUGUAACAUUUUGUCACAUUUGUUGAUGAAGGUCAGUCUGACUGGGAUGAGGUAGUAUAUCAAAAUACUGAACACUUUUUAAAAUAAGUAUCGUUCAUCUGUGUGGUUUUGUUAAAACUAAAUCCCAUUUAUUUGCCCACUGCCGAUUAGGAUUUUUAUUUCUUUGGUAUUUAAUUUCCACAACUGGCUGUAAAGUUUACGUAUCAGUCUCUAGUCUGAAGUGUAGUUAGUAAAGACCUCCCCUCACCCCUUCAGGCUGUUUGCUCUGCUAACUGUUUCUUUGCUGUGGACCUUUAUUUUCAUGUUGUCCACUAUGCUGAUACUAUUCACAAAAUUCUUGCCUAUCCCAAAUGUCUUCCAGGGAACUCCCUUGUUUUCCUCUACAAGUUCCAGUAGCCUUUGGUCCACUUUGAAUUCACAUUUGUAUAAGGAAUCCACAUUAAUUCUGCAUGUGGACAUCCAGUUAUACCAGUACCACUUGCUGAACAGGCUCUCUGUUAUCAAAAUAAUGUUUUUACCACUGUCAAAAAUUAAGUAGGCACAGCUCUUUGUUUCAUUUCUGGGCCCUUUAUUCUACUCUAUCAGUGUACUUGUCUGUUUUUUAUGCCAGUACCAGACUAUCUUUAUCACCAUAGCUCUGAGGUUGACAUGUUGGAUUUUGUGAGUUCAUAAAAAUGCUUGUAUUGUAUAUUCUAAACCCAUGAAAUACGACAUUGGAACUUUGAUAGCUAUUUCAUUAAAUCUGUAAAUUAA